UCAAAAUGACGUGUUUUUAAUAGUGCUUUAACAUUUAAUCAUAGUGACAGAAAAGGGAAAGAAAACAUAAUUAACCUUUAAUUCGAAUCUAAAGUCACGUGGAUGGAAAUUCAAAUUCGUAGGCGUUACGUUUUGGCUGUCGGUCAGGAAUCGGGAUGCAUUGAUAAGUGAAUAUUAUAGGUUUUCUUGAACAAAAAGGUAGUUAAAGUGUUGGACAUGCUCUCAAAGGUCGGAGGGACGGAAACACAUGAAUAUGUAAGAAUAAACAUAUGAAAGUAAGAUUUUUGUAAAUUCUAUUACAUACUUUAAUCCAUACUAAACUGGAGUUUAAAAGCGGCUUUUUAAAUGUUCAGUAUUUAUGUUUACUUUUAAUUUUUGUUACAGCUCUCUUAUAAAAAGUUGGCAAAAUUGUUCAUUAAGUUAAUAUAACCAUGAAAACAUUUUUGCUUGUUAUUUUUACAUGUUUCAUAAAUUUCUUUUUUUUUCAGUGAAAAUGAUGUCACAUACGCUAUUGGGCGCUACAUAUCCUCCGGACAGACGAGGGGUGCUGAAAGAAGGUCAUAUCUUAAAGCAUCACACCUCAAAAUUCGUGCUAAUUCUCAUGGAUAUCUAAAAGUAUAACUUUGUGAAGUAACUAAAAGGCAGCAAUUUAUACAUUACAGACAAUUAUCAAAGGAGGUCAAAAUAUGCAAAAUGGCACUAAAUGUUUUAGAAAUGCUGUAGAAAUAUAGUUAAAGUACUUAAAAUCUGUCAUUAAUUGCUUGAAACAUUAUUAUCAGAAUCUUUUAACUUUUCUUAAAAUUAUAAUAUUUUCAUUGUUUUAUUUGCUAAGGCAAACUUUGAUAGAAAUGUGCAUACAUUGUUUUGUUCUUUAAUAUUUGUACAUGUUUUCUUAGUUUCAUUUAUGUCAUUGUUUUUGUAAUACUUUUUGUUUUGUAAUUAACUUAUUUUAUGUUUUAUUUUGUUUAAUUUAUGAAAAUUAAUUAACCUUGCAGAAUUUACUAAAAUUGUAUGUAUCAGCUUAAAAUUGCAACUUUUAUCUUAAAUUAAAAAAGCAUGAAACAUAUUUUUGCUUUUAGUUUUCUGUUAUACAUUUCAUUUGAGGGAAAGUUACUUAAUAGAAUGAGUUACAUUAAAUAAGAUCAAAUCAGGAUUAGCCAGAAAAUAUUUAUGACGUGGUGAAACAAAAAGGAUUAGGGGAAUGAUAAGAUGAAGGUCAGAAAAUGAUCAGAUUUAGGGCAGAAAAGGGUUAAUAUUUAGGUCGGAAAAUGGUCAGAUUGAGGUCGGAAAAU